rnacentral:lncRNA from 1 species
AUCGCCUCGGCCCUCCCGGCGGACCCGAAGCCUAAACGUCCAUUUCUUUAAUAACUUUGUAACGGCUCGUCGGAUUGCCGAACCGUCUUCGCCAACGCGUUCGUUUACCUAGCAAUUUGGUUUACGGAGGGUCAAAUGAGAUCAAACCCAUACAUUUUACAAAACCCCAUUCGGAGCCCUAACAUGCAAUUAACCUCUAAAUAAUCCAAAUUAAAUAGAGCAAACAUGUUUAGAAUGCUCAUUAGAGGCUAUUAGAACACUUAAAACUAAGGAUUAAGCCAAAUCCCAAAAGCUUACCUCAAUGUGAACGCCGCGACGAAAAUACGCCGCUCCAACGGGCGCACGAAAGCUCGAUCCGUCGCCUCCAACGCGUUCGCAAGCAUCUUCUCCACCAACCCUCCAAUUUUUAGAGAGAGAUUUAGAGAGAUGAGAGAGAUCUCUAGAGAGAGAAGGGAGGGUUUCCCUCCCCCUCCAUGCGCGUGUGUGUGUGUGGGGUGUGUGCGGCUGAAGGAGAAGAAGAGGAGUCAACACUCCUCUUUAGUCAACCCCACGACACUAUUCACUCCCGGGCAGCUUGAAAUCUGAUAACUUUCGCCGGAGCUCCCUGAAUGUCCGUUUGAGCUCAAACUUGACAGUCAUGUUCGGUUUUACUUAACUUAACAAGCUGACGAUCGCUGGUUCAGUUUCGACCCCGUUUGGUCACUGAAAACUGUACCGAACUGUAAUCUUUAUCAGAUAGCUGUCGGAUUUUAUUUCUCACUCUACGGGUGUCAGAAAAAUAUGAAACUUUAAAUCUAGCCUCAUAAAAAUAUUUCUGACUUAUCCUCCAAUUUUCAUAAUUUUCUGAGACUGUGCAUUUUCUGCUAAUUUAUCUGUCCCGUUUCCAACAGAAAAUUCUAGAUCUUCUGUUUUCAUUCCGAUUUCAGCACAAGUCACUUCUGACUUAUGUUUUACUUCUACAAAUCCAAUAAAAAUAGUUUCUCACACUAUUUUUAUUUAUUUUUAUUUUUAUACCAAAAUCUGGUAUGUUACAUUCUCCACCCCUUAAAAGAAUUUCGUCCGCGAAAUUCAAACCACGCCUCAAUUCAGCUCCGCGAGCAAUUGAGGGUACCAACUCAUUCUCCCACUCCAGAGCGGCUUCACACUAUCGUGGUUCCAGAAGCGGCUCAUACUGAAGGACGUGGGUUUAAUCCUAAACUCAUUUGCAAAGUGUGAUACAAACGUGCAUCACGGGUCUUGCAAGUCAUAGUGGCAGCGCAAGUCGGUACUCGACGACUCUACGCGCUCCAACACCACUCGCCACUCGGUACACAAAGAACUCUUCUUUGCACUGGCCUUCCCUUUUGGGAAUACAUUCCAAUUCGAUCACCGACAUUGCUUAGAAGCAAUAUCACCGGUGCAUCGCUCCGUCGUGAGUGCUCUAAUUUCGCACUGACCCUUAACUUUAACGCGAGAUGGCCCACUUCGGCACAUCUCAAGUCUCAGUUCGCUUACGAGCAUAGUCUCCAACAUCACGUGGCUUUCCACUAGAUUGAUGUCUCACAAGGAGUACUUCAUCAUCUGAUACCACAUGCCACGAUCAACAUCAAACUAUUUUCGCAACGAGCUCACGCGAGCACUCCGUUCGUGAAUUCGAGUCAAACUCCUCGAUAAGGCUAUCUGCCAAAUCGCUCUCUUCGGUCUCCACAGGUGGACCAAAGGCCACCAAUCCUACGUAGGCCUACCGCCUAAACCUGUCUCAAUACGCAGCGUCUCUCGCUCGCAAAUGCAGACCCAAUCAUGAUCGGGCGAAAUUCUCACUUGGGAAUUCGCACACACUCCAACCAGGAGCAACUAAGACCCCAAACCACGUCAAGUCCUCGGGUUGGGUCACAACCAUACUCGGUGUACCAUCGGUCACACAAUCUAUCACGUGGCAUUCCACGCUCCCGGGCCUAAACUCGGACUACCGUCCUGACCAGAACUCUGCCCUACCCGUAGGUACCGGGCCGCUGUCACUCACAGCUGACUGCGCCUGCCCAAUGGGCCCAGGCUCCACAGUCCACAAAUGGUCCAGGCACGGGUCGUCCCCAAGCACUACCCGCCGUCGUCGUCCUACACGACAUACUCUACCGAGUCACACGUACCAAUAUCGGUUCCUAUGCACCUAGUGCGAGUCACCAGUCCCACGAGUGAUCCAUGGCACGCUUCGCACCUAGCAAUGCUCAAGUGCUACUGCCAUUACACUCUCUCGGCUGAAUUCACAUCCGCACUUUACGGGUAUCUACACUCGAGCGCUCUACGCCUCUACAGCGUUCCACAGUAAGUCCAGCAUUAGGCAAUCUUGCCUAUGCACACCGAUCGCACGAGCACAAUCGCCUACCUCACCUUGAGGUACUACUAGGCCCACGUGCUCAAACUUGGCCACUAAUCGACCGUUCUCUCAACAGUGAUGCUACUUUCACUGUUCGAUCUACCGGAAUGACAUCCAAAAUUUUCGGACUACUCGGGUGCCCAUAGGCAUUAUGGCUCGACUCUCGCAAUUUACUACUCAUAUUGCUCUGAGAGUCAUUUCGACACUUCUAUCUCUACCGCGAGUCUCAUUUCUCGCCAUAGAUUACUUCUAGCACUUCGCUAGUGCCAUCUGGCUUUAUACCUGUACUGGCAGGUACUACGCCCUCACAUAAUACAAAACGCCAUUUCUAGAGCAAUCAAGUCUAUCUCUAGAAAUUCACCAUGAGAGAGAGCUUAGAAGCUUACCUCUCCAAGAAGCUCCAACCAAGGAGAAGAUGAAGAAGAUGAGGAAGUCCUCUUUCUUCUUCUUUUUCUUCCCUUUUCUUUCUUCUUCCUCAUCUUGUCUACUAGAGAGAGAAAGAGAGAUAUGAGAGGGUGUGUGGGUGAGAAAUAAGAGAAAAGAGCUCUCAUACCCCUCACAUAGCCCCACAUGUUGCAUAAGUACAACCAAGCCCCUCAACUUUUACUCUUUUACACUGCCUUGACUGGGCCAUUUUCGUGUUCGGGGACCGGUCUCCCCGACGAGGGACCGGUCUCCGAGAGCUUCUCCCCGCAGUCAGCAGAGCUCACGCCCGAUGCAUCCGGUCUCUCUUUGGGGGACCGGUCUCUCAGGGACCGGUCUCUCCAGCAGGGACCGGUCUCCGAGAGCUGUCCACCAAGGACUUAGCCGAUUUUUCUCUCCUCUUGCUGCCUGCGCGUUCGGGGACCGGUCUCUCCACCAAGGACCGGUCCCGCGAGCAAGCCCACAAGCUGCAAGUCUUGCAGAUUUUGAUUUCCAAAGCUCUGAAGUCCCCAAUAAUGCAACUUUUCGCAUUAUUUGACGCCCUUCGCCUUUUCCAAAGCGACCAACCUCAUACUUGUCAAUUUUGCUAAGUUCGAUACUUGGUUAUCGACAGUCUCAGGUAUAUUACAUACCACUGAACAACAGCCAAUCUUUGACGAAGGGUUCAAUUUCUCGGACUCUCGAGAUUACUGUCGUUACACACGCUGUACCGACUACACCCCUAGUGUUCAAACCCGGUAACACAUGUUCCAAGAAUUCAGUUUGCAUCGCUUCGACCUACGAUUCGUUGCGGAGCAUCGCUAAACCUUCUAACUCUUUUAGAACUCAAUUCUAACCUUCCACAUUGUUAGAAUGUCAAUUGGACUUUGUCCAAUACUUCUCUCGACGCCACUUUGGUCAUUUGACCAAAAGUGACUAACCGACGAGAUUCGUAACUUCUCAAAGGUCACAAGGCGCCGCAAAGCUCUUUGUGAAGUUCCAAGUCUCCGUCGCCUCAAAUUUGCAGGCCAACACCACUUGAGCCAUCCCGCCGCCAACUAAGAAGAUCGCCUCGCGGUGGUUAUCGCUUCUAAAACAGCGACAAAUCUAUUAAUCCUCGACCAUUCUAGGUCGACAACACAGAACACUUUAAUACCGACUCAAAUCGGGCGAAAGUCACGCAGGAUCGUCUAUUCUCUUACGCCGGUUUGUGUAUGCAUCCAACAAUGAACACUCGGUUGCGAAUAACCACCCUUAAACUACCUCUAAACUAUCUGUUUUAGAGGUUUACAACCGUAACCCAAUCAUAACCUUUCGCAAAAGUCACAAGUCCGUCUCUCACGAGCCUUAAUCUCCAUGGUUUACUAUCCCUAGGGCUCUCCUAGGCUACCAACUAAACCAUUUUUCUAUUAUUCUUUUUAUUGUUCAUUUUAUUCUCUGAUACCCAUCUUAUCUGUCACGCCCGCGGACCGCCGCCUAUUUGCGGGGGCGCGGCGCUGCCGAACAGAUCGCCGAAACGGACAGGGUUUCCCUGUACUGGAAGAGUCUCCCCUGUAGGUCAGGAUGAGCAAUCAAUACAUGUUGCGAAAGUUCCAACCAGCUGAACACUUUCAUCAAGAUUGCAAAUGGACAGGGUAUAUCAACAACAUAACACAUCUAUGUAUUAUUACAUUCAUUCACAUUAGAUUACAUUUUUCAUCGCAUUAAUAUAACAUUUCUUUUUAGUAUCACAAUACAAUCUUAGCUUUUAACAAUAUUUAUUUACAACUUGAUCUUUUCAUUUUCUUGAUCCAUACAGUAAGGACCGCAUCGGCAGGUACGCUAUUCUGGUCUCGCGUGGUCAGGGCGCUACACUAUGAACUACGCCCGUCGCCCGCGCCGCGCGCGCUCACGUGCGACCUCACGUGAAAACCCCAAAACCACGUGGAGGUGAAGAACCAAUCAAUUUUCCCAGUGGGGUACGACCACCAAGGGGAAAAGUCGACCAAUAGGUCCAAGGGAGGCAACGCAAAGUAUAGUUAAUAAACAGAUAGAUAUGUUUAUCUUAUUAUGAACUAAUAAACCAAUGCUUCUGACUCCGAAUCCAUAAUGCCAUGCUAUAUGGAAUACAUGCAACUAUACACGUAGAAAAAUGUUAUUACUUUGUAUCAUGCUAUCCAUUAGCUUUUCAUAAUCAUACCUCUUAUCACUACAUCAUUGGAAUUAUUUGCUCCUAAGGUUUUCCUCUACCCUAGCCAAGCUAAUACACCGACUCAGGUCUCGAGUGUCCAAUCAACUGCGGAAUACCGCACAAAAUAGGUCGAGCGAUGGACGAUCUCACAUACACCUAGCCUAGAUCCCUCAACGUGGAGAUACACAAAUCAAGUAACCGUCAUAAUGCAUAUUUACAUCAUUGAGCCCUAUGAGCCAAUCUUACGGUACGCAUGUUAACCCCCAAUAAUCAACAAUACAAAAUCUAAUACGCGGGACUGAACCUCCCUUAGAGACCUGUAAACUGGUGGGACUUUACACGCCCAUGGUGACCAAGCUCCGGAGCGCACGCGAGGGGGACGCUAACUCCCUCAAGCAAGAACUUAUCGUGCAGUGAUCGAUCCAAUAUCUCAACUUGAGGAUACAUAGCCAUAGUCACAAUGCCAAUGUCAAACUUAGUUUACUAUUUAUCAUGAACAGCUUAUGUCAACUUGCGACCAAAUGUCAAUAAUGGUUAAACCUAUGGUUUAACAAUCACUUUUUGAUGCAAUGCAUGUCUCACUAUUAGUCAUUAGCCACCCUUGUUUACUAAUGUUCACAGCCAACUCUACACAUUUACACAAUAAUAGGGUCCUAACAUAUCAUGAAUGACACCAAUAUAUUCUGAUCAAUCACCCAAGUGUUUGCUAUAGGUUCAAGGAUGCCAGGUUUAUGCCUACAGUCGAUAACAUAUAUAGAAUUGUCACUAUGCUUCCACAACAAGAAUAUGUCCGAUCAAGUCAUGUUUUGUUCAUAUUUAACAUAAUCCACAAUAAUGUCCAAUUCAUAAUAUAUCAUCAUGCACUAUACACUAGCAUCACAUUGAUUUUGUCAACCAUACAUAGUCAUCUCCAAAAUAGUCCAUACUUAGCAUACUCAUGAUUCUGUUUUAACACUUAAUUCUUAUGCAUUACAUUUGCAUUUCAUAUAGACUAUGUUAGACAAUGCAUUCUUUCUCAUUUAUACUAUGUCAUUAUGCAUCAAUAUUGAAUUUCAUUUCUUAGACAUAAAUGGGCGACCUCGUGCUUCUGUAAACACAACCACCUCAUUUCGCGUUCCGAAUGCUUGUUCGACACUUGCACACUCGGCCAAUACCGCCGGCACCAAUAGAAAGAAAAAAAAAGGCAACCCGCGUUUGGCCCGGAUCUUCCGCGACAACCCCGAACGGGCUCCAACUUCACGAUCGAAAUUAAAGAGUUCUUCGGUCUGAUGUGCACGAUGCUUUCAAAUCGCAUUUUCGAUGAUUUACGAUAUCGUCUCGGCACUGCGGCGGACCGAAGCAGUAAACGGUCAUUUCUUUAAUAAUUUGUAACGGCUCGUCGGAUUGCCGAACCGUCUUCGCCAACGCGUUCGUUUACCUAGCAAUUUGGUUUACGGAGGGUCAAAUGAGAUCAAACCCUCAUAUUUUGAGUGUUUGCAUUUUGAGCCCUAGGUUUACAACUAUGCAAGAAAUUAUUAAAUUGCUCUAUGAUUCAAGCAUUAAUCAUCUAUUAGGCAUCAAUGGGUUCCACUAAAACCAUUUUCAAAGCAUUUAGACCUAUCUUUAGAGAUUUACCAUUAUAACCCUCAUUUUGGAGCUCUAGGUCUCAAUGGGUAAAAAUCCACUAUUAGAGCUUUGGUUUCAAGCAUCAAACCUCUAAUUAGUAUGCUAGAAUACCUCUAAACCCAUUCUUAGAGCUUAAAACCAAACUAGAGAGAAAUGCCAUUAAAGGGCUCAAGAAGCUCACCUCAAAAUGAGCUCCAAAUCAUGGAAAAGAUGAAGAAGACGAAGGCGAUCCACCUCCAAGCUUCGAUCUCCACCAAAUCCACUCUUUUUGGGAGAGAUUUAGAGAGAGAAAGAGAGGGUUUUCUCUCUCCCUUCCAUGCGUGUGUGCGUGUGUUGUGUGUGCGGGUUUGGGGCAGCCACGGUUGAGGGAGAAGAAGGCUUAAGCCCAUUUUACAAUUUAACCCCUCAACAAUUACACUAUUCAUCCCGGGCAGCUUGAAAUCUGAUAACUUUCGCCGGAACUCCCUGAGUGUCGGUUUGAGCUCAAACUUGACAGUCAUGUUCGGUUUUAUUUAACUUAACAAGCUGACGAUCGCUGGUUCAGUUUCGACCCCGUUUGGUUACUGAAAAUUGUACCGAACUGUAAUCUUUAUCAGAUAACUGUUGGAUUUUAUUUCUCACUCUACGGGUGUCAGAGAAAUAUGAAACCUUAAAUCUAGCCUCAUAAAAAUAUUUCUGACAUCUCUGCCAAUUUUCAUAAUUUUCUGAGACUGUGCAUUUUCUGCUAAUUUAUCUGUCCCGUUUCCAACAGAAAAUUCUAGAUCUUCUGUUUUCAUUCCGAUUUCAGCAUAAGUCACUUCUGACUUAUGUUUUACUUCUACAAAUCCAAUAAAAAUAGUUUCUCACACUAUUUUUAUUUAUUUUUAUUUUUAUACCAAAAUCUGGUAUGUUACAAAACGGGUAUAUACCACUAAAUUAACACCGGUGUCUGCUAGCUAAGCUGCUGGGCUCUUGCCGCGAUCCUCGGCCACACUGCUCGCACUAGAACCUGUAUGGUUAGUGGUGUAAGAACUACUAAAAGUUCCCAGUGGGUUCGGCCGCCGACCUCGCCGACUCACCCACUAGGUCUAUUUAGGCAUAUGCAGACAAGAAAAGUAAACAGAUAGUAACCAAUUAUAACAUGUAACUACUACAAUGCCUGUACAAAGCUGAAAGAAGUAAUAUAUGAAAACUGGUGAAUAUGCAUGCAUGCUUUUACUGAAAUUACCCAAUCCAUUGGUUAACCCUUUGGUUAACACUAACUCACUGACACUAUCCCAAAUAUCGAGGAGACGCAAGCUACAACCCGACGGGACUGUCAACUGGGGGAGACGCACCUCCUGGUCCAGUUAAGAUGACUACUCCGGAACUCAUCGUUCAAGGAGGAGCGACCUACCUUGAACAAAACUAAUGUGAGUAUGAUCUGAUCCUCCGUUAGAGGAUUCAACAAUAGACAAUAUUAUACUUUACUCUAACUAACUCUUUAUGAUAGUUUUACAGUUUCAUUUCUCGAUGCUAACCAAAUCUCUAGUCAUGAUGUCACCAAGUUCACUAUUGUUAUAGUCCAUGCAUUCAUAGGGUUCUAUAUCCACAAUCUAAUGUUCACAUAUUCUCACUGUUGAUAAGAAAUCACAUAUUCAAAUGUCACUUGCAUAAUGCCAAUACCCUAUAAUGCAAGAAUACAAUGUAACUAUGCUCAAUGAAUAAUAUAGACAUAAAGAGUGAUUCAAAGAUUUCGGAUAGCACCACCCACCUUGUAGGGAUGCCGAAAAGCUAAGCCCAACGUCUCGAAACGUGUAAACACCAAGCCCCCGCGACUCGAUGCCAAACAGGUAGAAUGAAGCGUUUCUUAAGUCGUAGGUCCGUCGGAAUAUCAACCCAAGCUUUCAAGCAAGUCAAUCUUUCCUUCAUAGAGGAAUAAAAGGGAUUAAACUUAAGUCAUAUUCAUAUUUUUACAACUUUGCAUUUCAACUCCAACUUGCAUAUAUGUAUAUAAUAUCAACAUAUAUAUAUACAGUCUUUCUAUUAAGUUUCUUAUGACAGUUUAGGAUUUCAAAAACUAGAACAACUCAUAAUUAACCCCCUUUAGGUAGUAAAUAUCAAUCUUUACUAUUACAAUUUCUGCCACAAGUUCCACUUUACUCUAAACAAUAGCUCACAUAUCAACUAUAUAACUUAUAGUUUACUAUAGGUCCAUCUAUAGCUUUUAUAGGUUUAUCCAUGACCACCUCAACCUUUAGAAGCUAACUAAUCCAUAAUUUAACUUCUUUACAUAGCAACAACAUCAUUCUUAAGUAGAUAGUAAAGUCACUCCACCUCAAACUUUAUCACCAACAACAACUCAUAAUACAUAUAUAUACAUACAUGCAUAUAUAUAUAUCGUAUAGAGUUAAUUUUUAUAUAGGGUUUAAGGCACUUAUGGUCUUAGCACUUUAAAAAUCCCUUGUUCACUACUUCUCCACAGUGAGGGAUAUCAUUCUAACCAGGUUUAGGAUCAAUUCAUCUUAGAUUUUCAUUCGAAUCAUUCCUUCACAUAUAUUCACACAUAUACAAGCUUUCCUUAGCAUAGUUUCUAGGUUUCUAGGUUUCAUCCACAAACUUUUGAGCCUAAACUUCAUGGUUCAAGCUUCUUUAGAAUGAGAACAUACUCAAUUCAGGGUCACUUAACCAUUCUAUUGCAGGUUUCAUCCCAAAAAUCCAUCAACAUGUGGAUAUAGGCUGCCAACAAGCUUCUUUAAACUUCUUUAAGUCUCUACAAGCUUAAUUCACUUAAAAAUCUCUCUCAAGGAGCAAAUAAACUAAACCCCAGCUGAGAAGUAAACCAAUUACCUCAAGUUCGAAGCUUCCAAGACUGGUUUUCCCACUUUGGCAUCUCCAAACAAGACCAAACACCAAAGCUACCACUUCUCCAACAAUUCCUUCACUAGUUUGCUUCUUGGAUUGAGAGAAAAAGAGAGGGAAAUUUAGAUAAGAAAAAAGCUGCGGAGUGUUGUUCAAGUACCUGGGCAAGUGCUAGACAUCUGAGUUAAAAAGAUAAGAGCAGAAAAUUGCAACUUAACCCCUUAAAAAACUAAAACUGCAUUGCAGUCUAGUAGUUCACAGUUCAGUCCCUGCAGGUUCGCAAAUCAGUCCCUGCAGGUUUACGAAUCAGUCCCUGCACUAAACAGAAGCUGGCAGCAGCAGUUUUCAGCCCCGUUUGCGCGUCUAGUUCACUCCGAACUCACUCUAACACCUCCAAAACAUGCCAAAGCAUCUUCACAAGCUACCAAAUUAAUUUGGAAGCAUUUAAUUUCCAUUUUAGCAUUAUCUUGACCAUUUUGAUCAAGAUUAGCAACAUAAUCAAUGAUCCGACAUAUUACAUUUAGAGUUUAGGAAUCCCUUUGCUCUAGAUUAAUUACAAUAACCCUAAUCCGGAAUUAAGAUUAAUCUACAGGUUUCCUCUUUAAUAGUUAAUUCACAUGUAUAUUACAUAUCUAUACACAUAACAUAUAGUUUUUUUCUAGAUUCCUUUUCAUAGUAAUAUGAACUCUAGAAGCUAAAACCUGCAGCUCAAGUCUUUAUAGAGUAAUUAACACCACUCAACAUAUAGCUUGUUCUCUAAAUCUUCAUGAUAAAAUAAGUUCUAGCAACCUAGAAAUCCUUUCUUAGGGUAAUUAAAAUAAAUCCUAGCAACAUAUGGCUUGUUCUCAGGUUGAUUGCUUCAUAGAUUAAUUGCUUCACACAUAUAUAUACAUAUAUGGCUUCUUAACAUGGCAUUUACUCUCUUUAGCAACCAAAAUUUAUAGCUCCACCCUUUUUAAAGUAGAUAAUCCAAUACUAUCCAGGAAAAUAUAGCAACUUUACCUCCAAUUGAAUACUUCAACCGCCCAUCGACCAUAAUUAACUAUCUCCCUCAUGCUAAUAUACAUAGAAUAUGCAUAAUAAUAAACAUAGCCUAUAGUAGCUGGGCUAAUUAAUUAGCAAGCCUCCUAUGCACGUAAAUACACCACCUAUGUUGUUUCAUGGCAAUUUCAACUCUAGCAGCUAGGAAAUCCUCUCAUAGAGUAAUUAGAACAAGCCUAACCAACCUCUGGUUCUAUUUCCAAUCCACAGCUCACAUAUAUGAUGCUCAUAUAUAGCUUUCUCUCACUAGGUUUCCAUUACAAUAGGAACUCUAGCAAUCAAAACACCUAUUACUCAAAUCUUUUUAGGUAAUUAGAACAAAUCCAACCAGAAAAUACUAACCCUUACCAAGGAGAGCAUAAACUUAUCUCAAAACUCAGCUCCAUCAGCCUUCUCAUCAUGCUCCUUAGCUUGCUCACACAACUCAACAUCAACUCCACCAAUUCUCUAUCCUCUACUUCACACGAUUA